GGCUAGCAUUGUGCAGUGGUUUGAGUGUUAGACUAUAACUCUGGAGACCAGGGUUCAAUUCCCAGCUCAGCCA